GAUGAACGCUGGCGGCGUGCCUAAUACAUGCAAGUCGAGCGAACAGACGAGGAGCUUGCUCCUCUGACGUUAGCGGCGGACGGGUGAGUAACACGUGGAUAACCUACCUAUAAGACUGGGAUAACUUCGGGAAACCGGAGCUAAUACCGGAUAAUAUAUUGAACCGCAUGGUUCAAUAGUGAAAGACGGUUUUGCUGUCACUUAUAGAUGGAUCCGCGCCGCAUUAGCUAGUUGGUAAGGUAACGGCUUACCAAGGCAACGAUGCGUAGCCGACCUGAGAGGGUGAUCUGCCACACCGGAACUGAGACACGGUCCAGACUCCUACGGGAGGCAGCAGUAGGGAAUCUUCCGCAAUGGGCGAAAGCCUGACGGAGCAACGCCGCGUGAGUGAUGAAGGUCUUCGGAUCGUAAAACUCUGUUAUUAGGGAAGAACAAAUGUGUAAGUAACUAUGCACGUCUUGACGGUACCUAAUCAGAAAGCCACGGCUAACUACGUG
rnacentral:rRNA from 1 species